rnacentral:rRNA from 1 species
UGCAAGUCGAGCGAACAGAUAAGGAGCUUGCUCCUUUGACGUUAGCGGCGGACGGGUGAGUAACACGUGGAUAACCUACCUAUAAGACUGGGAUAACUUCGGGAAACCGGAGCUAAUACCGGAUAACAUAUUGAACCGCAUGGUUCAAUAGUGAAAGGCGGCUUUGCUGUCACUUAUAGAUGGAUCCGCGCCGUAUUAGCUAGUUGGUAAGGUAACGGCUUACCAAGGCAACGAUACGUAGCCGACCUGAGAGGGUGAUCGGCCACACUGGAACUGAGACACGGUCCAGACUCCUACGGGAGGCAGCAGUAGGGAAUCUUCCGCAAUGGGCGAAAGCCUGACGGAGCAACGCCGCGUGAGUGAUGAAGGUCUUCGGAUCGUAAAACUCUGUUAUCAGGGAAGAACAAAUGUGUAAGUAACUGUGCACAUCUUGACGGUACCUGAUCAGAAAGCCACGGCUAACUACGUGCCAGCAGCCGCGGUAAUACGUAGGUGGCAAGCGUUAUCCGGAAUUAUUGGGCGUAAAGCGCGCGU